rnacentral:rRNA from 1 species
AUUGAACGCUGGCGGCAUGCUUUACACAUGCAAGUCGAACGGUAACAGGCCGCAAGGUGCUGACGAGUGGCGAACGGGUGAGUAAUGCAUCGGAACGUGCCCAGUCGUGGGGGAUAACGCAGCGAAAGCUGUGCUAAUACCGCAUACGACCUAUGGAUGAAAGCGGGGGACCGUAAGGCCUCGCGCGAUUGGAGCGGCCGAUGUCAGAUUGGGUAGUCGGUGGGGUAAAGGCCCACCAAGCCAACGAUCUGUAGCUGGUCUGAGAGGACGACCAGCCACACUGGGACUGAGACACGGCCCAGACUCCUACGGGAGGCAGCAGUGGGGAAUUUUGGACAAUGGGCGCAAGCCUGAUCCAGCAAUGCCGCGUGCAGGAAGAAGGCCUUCGGGUUGUAAACUGCUUUUGUACGGAACGAAAAGGUCUGGGUUAAUACCCUGGGCCGAUGACGGUACCGUAAGAAUAAGCACCGGCUAACUACGUGCCAGCCGCCGCCGUAA